UCGCGGCGUAGAGCAGUGGCAGCUCGGGUGGUCCAUAACCACCAGGACGUGGGUUCAAUUCCCACCGCCGCUAU
rnacentral:tRNA from 1 species